AUGGCUCAGGACGAACGCUGGCGGCGUGCCUAACACAUGCAAGUCGAGCGAGGAGAUCCUCGGGAUGAUCCUAGCGGCGGACGGGUGAGUAACACGUGGGCAACCUGCCUCAUAGAGAGGAAUAGCCUUCCGAAAGGGAGAUUAAUACCUCAUAACAUUGCAGUUUCGCAUGGAACAGCAAUUAAAGGAGCAAUCCGCUAUGAGAUGGGCCCGCGGCGCAUUAGCUAGUUGGUGAGGUAACGGCUCACCAAGACGAUGAUACGUAGCCGACCUGAGAGGGUGAUCGGCCACAUUGGGACUGAGACACGGCCCAAACUCCUACGGGAGGCAGCAGUAGGGAAUCUUCCGCAAUGGACGAAAGUCUGACGGAGCAACGCCGCGUGAGUGAAAAGAAGGUUUUCGGAUCGUAAAACUCUGUUGUCAGAGAAGAACAAGUUGGAGAGUAACUGCUCCAGCCUUGACGGUAUCUGACCAGAAAGCCACGGCUAACUACGUGCCAGCCGCCGC
rnacentral:rRNA from 1 species